rnacentral:rRNA from 1 species
UACGGAGGGGGCUAGCGUUGUUCGGAAUUACUGGGCGUAAAGCGCGCGCAGGCGGCUAUCCAAGUCAGUGGUGAAAGCCCGGAGCUCAACUCCGGAACUGCCAUUGAAACUGUUUAGCUUGAGGACGAGAGAGGUGAGUGGAAUUCCCAGUGUAGAGGUGAAAUUCGUAGAUAUUGGGAAGAACACCGGUGGCGAAGGCGGCUCACUGGCUCGUAUCUGACGCUCAGGCGCGACAGCGUGGGGAUCGAAACAAGG